ensembl:snoRNA Small nucleolar RNA SNORA5
UGCAGCCUUGUCAAAUUCAGUGUGUUCUUUUAAGUGGACCUCACUGGCCAAAAUGGCUGCCACAGAAACAUUGUAGUUCAUGGGCUCCACUUCUUAUACCAUGAGCAGUGGGGAUAAUUAUGUACUACAGACAAGU